AGUAAAUAGAUACCCAGGUAGUCCACGCCGUAAACGAUGAAUACUAGGUGUAGGAGGUAUCGACUCCUUCUGUGCCGCAGUUAAACACAAUAAGUAUUCCGCCUGGGGAGUACGGUCGCAAGAUUAAAACUCAAAGGAAUUGACGGGGCCCGGCACAAGCAGCGGAGCAUGUGGUUUAAUUUCGAAGCAACGCGAAGAACCUUACCUAGACUUGACAUCUUCUGCAUUAAUCGUAAUGGAUGAAAUCCCUUCGGGGUACGAGAAUGACAGGUGGUGCAUGGUUGUCGUCAGCUCGUGUCGUGAGAUGUUGGGUUAAGUCCCGCAACGAGCGCAACCCCUACUUAAUUAGUU
rnacentral:rRNA from 1 species